UACGAAGGGGGCUAGCGUUGUUCGGAAUUACUGGGCGUAAAGCGCACGUAGGCGGAUUGUUAAGUCGGGGGUGAAAUCCUGAGGCUCAACCUCAGAACUGCCUUCGAUACUGGCAAUCUCGAGUCCGGAAGAGGUUGGUGGAACAGCUAGUGUAGAGGUGAAAUUCGUAGAUAUUCGCAAGAACACCAGUGGCGAAGGCGGCUCACUGGCCCGGAACUGACGCUGAGGUGCGAAAGCGUGGGGAGCAAGCAGG
rnacentral:rRNA from 1 species